rnacentral:rRNA from 1 species
CAGCAGCCGCGGUAAUACGGAGGGUGCGAGCGUUAAUCGGAAUAACUGGGCGUAAAGGGCACGCAGGCGGUGACUUAAGUGAGGUGUGAAAGCCACGGGCUUAACCUGGGAAUUGCACUUCAUACUGGGUCGCUAGAGUACUUUAGGGAGGGGUAGAAUUCCACGUGUAGCGGUGAAAUGCGUAGAGAUGUGGAGGAAUACCGAAGGCGAAGGCAGCCCCUUGGGAGUGUACUGACGCUCAUGUGCGAAAGCGUGGGGAGCAAACAGGAUUAGAUACCCCCGUAGUCCCUGUCUCUUAUAC